UGGGGAAUCUUCCGCACUGGACGAAAGUCUGACGGAGCAACGUCGCGUGAGUGAUGACGUUCUUCGGCUUGUAAAGCUCUGUUAAUCGGGACGAAUGGUUUGUGUGCAAAUAGUGCAUAGACAUGACGGUACCUAACCAGAAAGCCACGGCUAACUACGUGCCAGCAGCCGCGGUAAUACGUAGGUGGCAAGCGUUGUCCGGAAUUAUUGUGCGUAAAGCGCGCGCAGGUGGUUUAGAAAGUCUGAUGUGAAAGCCGACGACUCAACCGUGGAGGGUCAUUGGAAACUAAUCAACUUGAGUGCAGGCGAGAAAAGUGGAAUUCAUAGUGUAACGGUGAAAUGCGUAGAGAUUAGGCGGAACACCAGUGGCGAAAGCGGCUUUUUGGCCUGCAACUGACUCUGAGGCACGAAAGCGUGGGGAGCAAACAGG
rnacentral:rRNA from 1 species